AAAAAAAAAAAAAAAAAAAAAAAAAAGUCAAAAUGUAAAAAUAUGAAUAAUAUAUUACAAAGUGUAAGACAUUAGGAGGGAUGAUCCAAAUAAUAGAGCUUAAUAUAAAAUAGUACUUAAGUGUUAGCGAGGAAACUAAAGUGAAUAAAUGUAAUAACACAUUAAUUGCACAUUUAUACAUACGCAUUUAAAAAAAAAAAAAAAAUAGGGAGUUAUUAAAAAUAUACGGACAUUUUAUUUUUCCUAAACUAAAAAAAACAUUAAACUACAAGCGUUUGCAUAUAAAAACCUAUAGAAAUAUAAAAGUACAGGUUGUUUUUUUCAAAUAUUACUUUAGUAAUAAAAAAAUACAAAUUAUAAAAAAUGUAGAGCAUGUCAGAUAUAUUUUUUUUAACAAGGUACACAUAGUUAAA